rnacentral:rRNA from 1 species
UCGCAUCUGUGCAUGCAGCAUAUCAAUAAGCGGAGGAAAAGAAACUAACAAGGAUUCCCUUAGUAACGGCGAGUGAAGCGGGAAGAGCUCAAAUUUGAAAUCUUGAAAGGUCACCUUUCACGAAUUGUAGUUUAAAGAAGUGUUUUUCUGCUGAAGUUUUGGUAAAAGUUCUUUGGAAUAGGACAUCAUAGAGGGUGAGAAUCCCGUAUUUGACCAUUAUUUUCAGCUUUGUGAUACACUUUCAAAGAGUCGGAUUGUUUGGGAAUGCAGUCCAAAAUGGGUGGUAAAUUUCAUCUAGAGCUAAAUAUUGGCGAGAGACCGAUAGCGAACAAGUACCGUGAGGGAAAGAUGAAAAGAACUUUGAAAAGAGAGUUAAAUAGUACGUGAAAUUGUCAAAAGGGAAGCGUUUAACACCAGUGUUGUUUUCUGAAAAUCAACCUCUGUUAGCUUUAUGCAUGUUUGUUUAGACCUAAUCAGCUAUCUUGCAUGUUCUAUUGUUUGCAGUGGUGCACUUAUCAGUUUACAGGUCAACAUCAGUUUUUUUUUACCGUAAAAAAGUUAAAGAAAGGUAGCUCAUGGCUCCGGUCGUGAGUGUUAUAGUCUUUUUCCUAUGCGGUAGGAGAGACUGAGGUCUGCAGUGUAGGCUAUUUGGCUAGAUACUCAGGUGCUAUGUGAUACCAUUUCAUAAACAACUUGUUGAUUAUGUUUUGUCUACUUGCAUACUCGCUUGUACUAUCAUACCUACGCUUAGGAUGUUGACGAUCAGCUGAGCGCG